UUUAUUAAUAGUGCGAAUUGAAAAUACUGAGUGCAAAAUAAAAUAUAUAUAGGUCUGUGUUUAUUGUUUACAUUUCAUCUACUUCCGGACCCGGUGUGUCCUAAAUUUACGAAGAAAUGGCUGAAGACUAGAUCUAGAUCUACAUCUAGUUCUAGACAUAGAUCUCUAGAUCUACUGAUCUAGUAGUCUAGGUCUAGAUAUUAGAAUUAGAUCUAUUCUUAGAAUCUAUGAGAAUAUGGUAUAUGUGGUCUUUUUUGUGUUGAUGGACAUGCCCCAGUCUUUGGACCAAUUAUUGAGUUUAUCAAGAGCAUCUUGUAAUCGAAAUUUCGAUGUUCCUACAUAUUCUUCUGUGCUAAUUAUGGCAAGGUCAUCUGCAUACAUGCUGCUUUUAACUUUUCUAGCCUCCAAGAAUGAAAUCAGCUCAGCCUUGAGUUGGAUGACACCCUUUAACACUUUUCCCCUGGAGAGCCAACGAACGUUGGUGUGAUACAGGAGACAUUAGUAGUCUGAAUCCAUUGCUUCACAAAGCUCUGAGGAAAGUCAGAAUGCAAGCGGUCGAGAUUUGAGGAAGUUUACAACUUCAAUCACUUGAUCCAGAACAGACAUCAAAUAUUUGAAGGCAAGAGCUUCUCUGUGGAUCAUGCAGUGAACAACUAAUACAUUUGGAUUUUCUUGACGCACAAGAGUGAAGAAUCCCUUUCUAUUUCCCUGCAUGGAAGGACAGCCAUCGGUGCAAACGCUGACACAGUUUGUCUCCACUGUACUUUGAAUAGCAAAAUGUUUUCGUUCACCACUUAAAUUCGCCUUUGGUCGUAGUUGGUGGCGAUUUUAUUGUUUACCAUGGAGUUGUCUACUUUUCAAAUUUUACUGACCAAGUUUUUUACAGUGACUGAUCCAUCAGCAGUUUCCGAAGCAGUAACUGAUAUCUCAAAAAAAUAUCGCUUUACUGAUGGUGUCUGGUCACCUCAGAGGAUCAACAGGAUUUGUUCAUUGAAAGACACUUGAAGGUGUAGGCAGUUAAAGCAAAAGGACUUCUUGCAAUGUUUGUUUCAAGGACCAGACACAACAGAAUUUGACAACAUAUGUAUUGGAAGCUCAAAAUCAGAAACUGAAAUCUGCCCAUGUGGAGUGUCACCAGAGAAUGUUGACCAUCUUCUCCAAAACUGCUCUCUUUACCAAGAGGCUGUACAUGACACUGGCCCCAAAACACCCCAAUAGAAAGAAAACUAUAUGGAGAGUUCCCUGAUUUGGAAACGCUGUGAAAAUAAUCUCAUAUACUGGUCCAGUCAUCUGAAUGCUCCAAUAAAAAAAUGAGAAGGAAGAAGAAAGAAGAUUGGGAGCAACAUGGCUAUUGAAAAGCAGAGACCAUACAAACCUCAUUAGAUGAAGAGUUUUAUUUUGUUGGUAAAGUCCUUGGUUUUGAGCCAGCAGAGAAACAUAGAAAGGUAAUUUGUCAACAUUUCAGAUUUAUCACUAAGAGAAAAGCAGAAAAGCUUUGAUGGGCAGUAUCUCUGUUGACCCAAUGAUCCAUCCAACUUAUGGAACAAGUGAUGGUGAAGAUGUUCAUUACAGUGCUAAUGUCUGGGAACACUGAAUAACUCACAUUUUUAGUUCAUGCUUUUCAAAAUUUGGUGAUAAAAGCUGAAUUGAAGCCUUCAUCUCU